AGAGUUUGAUCAUGGCUCAGAAUCAACGCUGGCGGCGUGCCUAACACAUGCAAGUCGAACGCGAAGACCCCGCAAGGGGUUGGUAGCGUGGCAAACGGGUGAGUAACGCGUGGGCGACCUACCUCAGAGUGGGGGAUAACCUUCCGAAAGGGAGGCUAAUACCGCAUGACAUCCCGUGUUUAGAUACACGGACAUCAAAGCCGGGGAUCGCAAGACCUGGCGCUUGGAGAGGGGCCCGCGUCCGAUUAGCUAGUUGGUGAGGUAACGGCUCACCAAGGCUCCGAUCGGUAUCCGGCCUGAGAGGGCGGACGGACACACUGGGACUGAGACACGGCCCAGACUCCUACGGGAGGCAGCAGUGGGGAAUUGUUCGCAAUGGGCGCAAGCCUGACGACGCAACGCCGCGUGGAGGAUGAAGACCUUCGGGUCGUAAACUCCUUUCGACCGAGAUGAAUUUCCGCCGACCUAACACGUCGGCGGGGUGACAGUAUCGAGGGAAGCAGC
rnacentral:rRNA from 1 species